rnacentral:tRNA from 1 species
AGUAAAGUGCCUGAGUAAAGGAUUAUCGUGAUAGGAUAAAUUAUGUAACUUCUAUUACCUUUACUA